rnacentral:misc_RNA from 1 species
UCUCCGUUGGUGAACCAGCGGAGGGAUCAUUACUGAGUGAGGGCUUCGGUCCGACCUCCAACCCUUUGUGAAUCGUACUCGUUGCUUCGGGGGCGACCCUGCCGUCCGCGGCUGAGCGCCCCCGGGGUCAAUCAAACACUGCAUUCUCUGCGUCGGAGUAUUAGUAAAUCUAAUCAAAACUUUCAACAACGGAUCUCUUGGUUCUGGCAUCGAUGAAGAACGAGC